rnacentral:rRNA from 1 species
UUUAGAGUUUGAUCCAUGGCUCAGGACGAACGCUGGCGGCGUGCCUAACACAUGCAAGUCGUACGGGCUUGGGGGGCAACUCCCGAGUCAGUGGCGAACGGGUGCGUAACACGUGAGCAACUUACCCUGAGGCGGGGGAUAGCCGGCCCAACGGCCGGGUAAUACCGCAUAUGGCGCCGGGGUCGCAUGGCCCUGGUGGGAAAGCGGCCGCAAGGUCGCGCCCCAGGAGGGGCUCGCGGCGUAUCAGCUAGUUGGUGGGGUAACGGCUCACCAAGGCGACGACGCGUAGCUGGUCUGAGAGGAUGGCCAGCCACAUUGGGACUGAGAGACGGCCCAGACUCCUACGGGAGGCAGCAGUGGGGAAUAUUGCGCAAUGGCCGCAAGGCUGACGCAGCGACGCCGCGUGUGGGAUGAAGGCCUUCGGGUUGUAAACCACUGUCGGGGGGGACGAAUACCGGGGCUUCGAACAGGAGUCUCGGGAAACGUACCUCCAAAGAAGCCC